CUCCCAGGGAGAGGAUAAGAGGGGCCUGGCAGAGCCCGGACCCAGCUGGUUCUCUCUGGGGAGCAGAGCUCUCGGGGUCCCCUGCACCAUGGCCUGGACUCUUGUCUGCCUCCUCCUGCUCACCUGCUGCUCAGGUUCCUUCUCCCAGCCUGUGCUGACUCAGCCUCCCUCCAUGUCUGUGUCCCUGGGAGCCACGGCCAGACUCACCUGUAUCCUCAGCAGUCAGUAUAGUUAUUGUAUAAUUGAAUGGUUCCAGCAGAGCCCAGGAAAAGCCCCUCAGUACCUCAUGUAUGUUGGUACUGGUGGAGCUGGAGGCAAGGGCGAGGGGGUCCCCAGCUGCUUCUUGGGCUCCAGCUCUGGGGUCGAUCGCUACUUGUCCAUCAGCAGCCUCCAGCCUGAGGACGAGGCCGAUUACUACUGUGGGGCACCUUAUAGUAGUGGUAAUAACUAUGGUUAAAACAGUGCUACAUUCAGUGAGGAAGUGGGACAAAAACCUCCCCACCAGCCCUGACAUGGCCCAGAGUCUGACAACAGCCCAGGCUGCCAGGGGAAAAGAAAGUCUCUGUUUUCUCUCUGUUUCUUCUUCUCCCUCACUUUUUCUUUCUUCCUCUUUCUGUCUCUGCCUCUAUAUUUA